CAAAUGUCUGCUGGAGAGAUAGGAAGUUGUGGAGCAAAUGAGAAGGGACAGCACUGUCCUGUCAUUAACACGUUCAGAAGAAGUCGGAUAUCCCAGCAAGAUCACAGAAUCACAAGAGUUGGAAGGAACCUCAAGAGACUAUUGAAUCCAACCCCCCUGCUAAGGUCUGACCAACAGAAGGAGUGGCUGCAGUGCAUGCUGUGCCUUUAGUGCACUCCUCAACACGGCACCCAGAAAAUCAAAGUGUGGAAACUGACAGAAUAACCAUUGUGUCGCCCUUUAGCAACUAUCUGCUAAAACAUGGAGGUCGUUCUAUGAAGCAGCCUUCCUUCUAUCUGAGUGAGAGGUAACCAGUUUUGGGUAGCAGGAUUUUUACCUGCCCUAAUCAGCCCAAGAAUGGGUGAUCCUUCUACCUAUAGCUCUUCCUUGGCGACUGCAUACACAUACCCUCAGCCUCUCCCCAUCAAACAGAUUGCAACAAGUGUCAGGACUACAGGGUUUUCGUAUACUCCAUGAUCAUCGGAACACCUUGCAGGGAGUGCGCAGCGAGGAGUA
rnacentral:lncRNA from 1 species